ensembl:lncRNA novel transcript
CUCUAAGAUUAUCUUACUUCCAAAGGAAAAAGGAGUGAUGACUGCAGUGAUUGGGCCACUGAAGGAGCCUGUCCAGAGAAACAAGAUCCAGAUUCUUGCCAAUGCCCAGACAGAUGGGGGUCCCUGUGUGAGGAAAGGAGCACUCAGUGUGGGUCCUGCUACCUCCUGAAUCCUUUUCCACCUUCUGUGGCACCUGCUAUUUUGCUGCUGAGGUUUCUUCUGGGCCUAUAUGACAUGCCCGUAAUUUUGAGCUUCCUUUGAAGUUAAGAGGAGGUCAUCUGACAACUUCUACUGAAUGAAUUCUGUGAAGAAAUGGCAUAUGUUAUGUAUGGGCCAAAGAAGUGUAGAACUAGUGUGCCUCUUCCAUCUUUCUUUUUCAACCAUGGCAACCUGGGAAUUCACAUAUUGAGAUGGCAGUUUCACCAGAUGGAGGAGGUUUGGAUCCCUGAGUCACCAGAUGGAGGCAAGCUCUGGCCAACUUGCAUUGGAGUUCAUACAAAGUGAUUCAACAAAUGAAUUUCGCAGUACCACAUCUGCCACCUCCUGAUUUGUGCACUUCUUGCUGCCACCAUGUGAAGAAGGAUGUGUUUGUUACCCCUUCCGCCAUGAUU